rnacentral:rRNA from 1 species
GAUGAACGCUGGCGGCGUGCCUAAUACAUGCAAGUCGAGCGAACAGACGAGGAUCUUGCUCCUCUGACGUUAGCGGCGGACGGGUGAGUAACACGUGUAUAACCUACCUAUAAGACUGGGAUAACUUCGGGAAACCGGAGCUAAUACCGGAUAAUAUAUUGAACCGCAUGGUUCAAUAGUGAAAUACGGUUUUUCUGUCACUUAUAGCUGGAUCGCGGCCUCAUUAGCUAGUUGUUAAGGUAACAGCUUACCAAGGCAACGAUGCGUAGCCGACCUGAGAGGGGGAUAGGCCACACUGGAACUGAGCCACGGUCAAGACUACUACGGGAGGCAGCAGUAGGGAAUGUUACGCAGUGGGCGAAAGCAUGACGGAGCAACGCGGCGUGAGUGAUGAAGGUCUUCGGAUCGUAAAACUCUGUUAUGAGGGAAGAACAAAUGUGUAAGUAACUAUGCACGUCUUGACGGUACCUAAUAAGAAAGCCACGGCUAACUACGUG